AUUGAACGCUGGCGGCAGGCCUAACACAUGCAAGUCGAGCGAGCGGCGGACGGGUGAGUACUGUCUGGGAAAAUGCCUGAUAGCGGGGGAUAACUACUGGAAACGGUAGCUAAUACCGCAUACCAUCGGAUGAGCCCAAAUGGGAUUAGCUCGUAGGUGGGGUAACGGCUCACCUAGGCGACGAUCCCUAGCUGGUCGGAGAGGAUGAUCAGCAACACUGGAAAUGAGAAACGUGCCAGACUCCUACGGGAUGUAGCAGGGGUGAAUAUUGCCCAAUGGGCGAAAGUCUGAUGCAGCCAUGCCGCGGUUAUGAAGAAGGCCUUAGGGUUGUAAAUCACUUUCAGUGGGGAGGCGUUACCCACAGAAGAAGCACCGCCUAACUCCGUGCCAGCAGCCGCGGGAAUAC
rnacentral:rRNA from 1 species